ACACCUCAACUCUCAUGGUUUGCCAUGAUGAGCUUGGAAUUUGGGGGGUCUUGCUGGCCUAUGGUCGGCUCCCCUUAAACGGAUCAGCUUGCCAGUGUUUGGUGGCAUCACAGGUGUGAUAACUAUCUACGCUUGUGGUUUUCCAUCAGGUAACCUUCAGUUAUGGAGGUUUGCUGGGGCUCAUAAAGGUCUCUCCUCAGCGAGGACAGCUUUUUGAAC
rnacentral:misc_RNA from 1 species